rnacentral:rRNA from 1 species
GACGAACGCUGGCGGCGUGCUUAACACAUGCAAGUCGAACGGAAAGGCCCUGCUUUUGUGGGGUGCUCGAGUGGCGAACGGGUGAGUAACACGUGAGUAACCUGCCCUUGACUUUGGGAUAACUUCAGGAAACUGGGGCUAAUACCGGAUAGGAGCUCCUGCUGCAUGGUGGGGGUUGGAAAGUUUCGGCGGUUGGGGAUGGACUCGCGGCUUAUCAGCUUGUUGGUAGGGUAGUGGCUUACCAAGGCUUUGACGGGUAGCCGGCCUGAGAGGGUGACCGGGCACAUUGGGACUGAGGUACGGCCCAGACUCCUACGGGAGGCAGCAGUGGGGAGUAUUGCGCAAUGGGCGGAAGCCUGAUGCAGCAACGCCGCGUGCGGGAUGACGGCCUUCGGGUUGUAAACCGCUUUCGCCGGUGACGAAGCGUGAGUGACGGUAAUGGGUAAAGAAGCACCGGCUAACUACGUG